rnacentral:rRNA from 1 species
CAGUAGCCGCGGUAAUACGGAGGGUGCAAGCGUUAAUCGGAAUUACUGGGCGUAAAGCGCACGCAGGCGGUCUGACAAGUCAGAUGUGGAAUCCCCGGGCUUAACCUGGGAACUGCAUUUGAAACUGUCAGGCUGGAGUCUUGUAGAGGGGGGUAGAAUUCCAGGUGUAGCGGUGAAAUGCGUAGAGAUCUGGAGGAAUACCGGUGGCGAAGGCGGCCCCCUGGACAAAGACUGACGCUCAGGUGCGAAAGCGUGGGGAGCAAACAGGAUUAGAUACCCCUGUAGUCCCUGUCCUCUUAUA